rnacentral:rRNA from 1 species
CGAACGGGGACAGACGGAAACCUAGUGAAGUCUGUCCGAGUGGCGGACGGGUGAGUAACGCGUGGAUAACCUGCCGCAUGCAGGGGGAUACCGGCUGGAAACAGCCGCUAAUACCGCAUAAGCGCACGGUGCCGCAUGGCAGAGUGCGAAAAGGAGAAAUCCGGCAAGCGAUGGAUCCGCGUCCGAUUAGCCAGUUGGCGGGGUAAGGGCCCACCAAAGCGACGAUCGGUAGCCGGCCUGAGAGGGCGGACGGCCACAUUGGGACUGAGACACGGCCCAGACUCCUACGGGAGGCAGCAGUGGGGGAUAUUGCACAAUGGGGGAAACCCUGAUGCAGCGACGCCGCGUGGGUGAAGAAGUAUUUCGGUAUGUAAAGCCCUAUCAGCAGGGAAGAAAGAAGACGGUACCUGACUAAGAAGCCCCGGCUAACUACGUGCCAGCAGCCGCGGUAAUACGUAGGGGGCGAGCGUUAUCCGGAUUCACUGGGUGUAAAGGGAGCGUAGACGGCCGUGCAAGCCAGGAGUGAAAGCCCGGGGCCCAACCCCGGGACUGCUCUUGGAACUGUGCGGCUGGAGUGCG